AAUAAACAAAUACAUAAUAUUUUAUAUUUAUUUGUUUACCUUUCACCUUUGCAGGUUCUAGAAUAUUAAUUAAUUCGUGAUUCAAUUUUUAGUCUGCUAGCAGGCCAAGAAAGAACUUGAACUUGAAUUGCUCUGAAUGAUGAAUUGAUGAGGAGAACGAGAAUGAUCGACAAGAGUGAGGGAAUCAGUUGGCAAGUGGAAAGUGUCCAGGAAGAUGAGCGGAAGAGGCAUGAGAGGAGAGUACGAGGGCUGACGAGCAGAACGACAAAAGCUUGUGUCACCAAAUCUCACGGCAGCCACCACCAGCAGCAUCACAUCAUCACCGCACGCAACUGGACACACAAAGGCGAUGCAGCUAUUCGUCACCUGCUAUUUCUCAUGGCGGACACUUCUGGCGUCUCGAUAAUACAAAGGCGAUAAGCAAUCAUAAAGACAUCUUUUUAUGGAGGUGCAGAUCAGUCCAGUACUCGACUCUCUUUUAACUUUAUUGCGUUAACGGAACAAUUAAUAAUAUAGAUCAUUAAAAUUUA